rnacentral:rRNA from 1 species
UACCAGCACCCCGAGUGGUCGGGACGAUUAUUGGGCCUAAAGCAUCCGUAGCCGGUUCUACAAGUCUUCCGUUAAAUCCACCUGCUUAACAGAUGGGCUGCGGAGGAUACUAUAGAGCUAGGAGGCGGGAGAGGCAAGCGGUACUUAGUGGGUAGGGGUAAAAUCCGUUGAUCCAUUGAAGACCACCAGUGGCGAAGGCGGCUUGGCCCAGAACGCACUCG